AACAUUAAAACCCAAAUCCUGAAUCUCGUGGUGGAGGUAAGUAGGACGAUGUCGCAAGAGAAGCACAUAGAGAAAGUGCUUUUCAGCGCCGAAGUCAUCGCGGAGCGGGUGGAUCAAAUUGGAUCCGAGAUUACCUCUGAUUUCUCCGGCGAAUCGGAGUCGCCUGUUUUUGUCGGCGUAGCCACCGGUGCUUGUCUCUUCUUGGCCGAUCUCGUCAGGCGAAUUGACUUUCCCAUCUCCAUCGAUUUUAUCAGAGCAGACUCUUAUGGCUCAGGUACAGUCUCCAGUGGAACUCCCAGAAUUUCGUUUGACUUAAAGCUGGACAUCACGAACAAACAUGUUAUCUUGGUCGAGGACAUUGUGGAUACUGGCAAUACACUGAACUGCCUAAUAGAGCACCUGAAACUGAAAAAGGCGUCGUCGGUUUCAGUCUGCACUCUACUCGACAAGCCAUCAAGAAGAAAGGUUCAUUUUAAGCUGGUUGGAAACGGGAAAUUCUACAGUGGUUUUGAAUGUCCAGAUGAAUUUGUCGUGGGCUAUGGCAUGGACUUUGCAGAGCAAUACCGCAACCUAUCUUACGUUGGCGUAUUGAAGCCUGAAUAUUACAUGUGACAAACAUGAACUGAAGUCGGUUCAUACUUUAAAAAAGUUACUGGACGAUCAUGAGAUAUUUUAUGACUUGCCCCUGGACAUUGUUGUUCAAAGCAGUAGAUCAAAGUAAGAAGAGGAAGAGAGUUCUUGGCCGGAGGAACAACAAGUCCUUCCGAAUCAUACAAGAUAACGCCGGAGAAAUCUGGAAGCUGGCAUUUUCCUCCCAUGAGAAUGUUCUUCUGCCACAACGGACCUCGUCUCUGAUCCCCACUCAGCA